rnacentral:rRNA from 1 species
UACAGAGGGUGCAAGCGUUAUUCGGAAUUAUUGGGCGUAAAGGGCGCGUAGGCGGCUUGGCAAGUGGAAGGUGAAAUCCCUCGGCUUAACCGAGGAACUGCCCUCCAAACUGCUUAGCUUGAGACCGGGAGAGGUGAGUGGAAUUCCCAGUGUAGCGGUGAAAUGCGUAGAUAUUGGGAGGAACACCAGUGGCGAAGGCGGCUCACUGGACCGGUACUGACGCUGAUGCGCGAAAGCGUGGGGAGCAAACGGG